AGUGAACGCUGGCGGCAGGCCUAACACAUGCAAGUCGAACGGUAACAGGAAGCAGCUUGCUGCUUCGCUGACGAGUGGCGGACGGGUGAGUAAUGUCCGGGAAACUGCCUGAUGGAGGGGGAUAACUACUGGAAACGGUAGCUAAUACCGCAUAACGUCGCAAGACCAAAGAGGGGGACCUUAGGGCCUCUUGCCAUCGGAUGUGCCCAGAUGGGAUUAGCUAGUUGGUGGGGUAACGGCCCACCUAGGCGACGAGCCCUAGCUGGUCGGAGAGGAUGGCGAGCGACACUGGAACUGAGACACGGUGCGGACUCCGCCGGGAGGCAGCAGGGGGGAAGAUUGGACAAGGGGCGCAAGUAUGAUACAGCCAUACGGCGUGGGUGAAGAAGGCCUUCGGGUUGUAAAGCCCUUUUGUGGGGAAAGAAAAGCAGCAGGUUAAUACCCCGGUGCACUGACGGUACCCAAAGAAGAAGCACCGGCUAACUUCGUG
rnacentral:rRNA from 1 species